rnacentral:piRNA from 1 species
UGAGGUUGCAAAGAAAUGCGUUGAGGA